rnacentral:rRNA from 1 species
GACGAACGCUGGCGGCGCGCCUAACACAUGCAAGUCGAACGAGCGAGCGAGAGCUUGCUUUCUCAAGCGAGUGGCGAACGGGUGAGUAACGCGUGAGGAACCUGCCUCAAAGAGGGGGACAACAGUUGGAAACGACUGCUAAUACCGCAUAAGCCCACAGGUCGGCAUCGACCAGAGGGAAAAGGAGCAAUCCGCUUUGAGAUGGCCUCGCGUCCGAUUAGCUAGUUGGUGAGGUAACGGCCCACCAAGGCAACGAUCGGUAGCCGGACUGAGAGGUUGAACGGCCACAUUGGGACUGAGACACGGCCCCGAAUCCUACGGGAGGCAGCAGUGGGGAAUAUUGCACAAUGGGGGAAACCCUGAUGCAGCGACGCCGCGUGGAGGAAGAAGGUCUUCGGAUUGUAAACUCCUGUUGUUGAGGAAGAUAAUGACGGUACUCAACAAGGAAGUGACGGCUAACUACGUG